AACUUUUGACAACGGAUCUCUUGGCUCUCGCAACGAUGAAGAACGCAGCGAAAUGCGAUACGUAAUGUGAAUUGCAGAAUUCCGUGAAUCAUCAAAUCUUUGAACGCAUAUUGCACUCUAUUUCGGUAGAGUAUGCCUGUUUGAGAAUCUAAA
rnacentral:rRNA from 1 species